GUCUUUGCGCUUGGGGCAAUGACGCAACGAGUAAGGUUCUAACCGAGACGCGUCUAUUACUGGUUGAAAACUAUUUCCAAACCCCCUCUUCGGCCUGGGUUCAACAUUGGCCGUCGAGAAUUUCUGGAAGGGCUCCCCUUGGGAUAAAGCU